rnacentral:rRNA from 1 species
CCUACGGGAGGCAGCAGUGAGGAAUAUUGGUCAAUGGACGCAAGUCUGAACCAGCCAUGCCGCGUGCAGGAUGACGGCUCUAUGAGUUGUACACUGCUUUUGUACGAGGGUAAACCCCGAUACGUGUAUCGGGUUGAAAGUAUCGUACGAAUACGGAUCGGCUAACUCCGUGCCAGCAGCCGCGGUAAUACGGGGGAUGCAAGCGUUCUCCGGAUUUAUUGGGUUUAAAGGGUGCGUAGGCGGUGAGGUAAUUCAGCGGUGAAAUGCCCCCGCUCAACGGGGUGAAGUGCCAUUGAUACUGCCUUGCUUGAAUGCGGAUGCCGUGGGAGGAAUGGGUGGUGUAGCGGUGAAAUGCAUAGAUAUCACACAGAACACCGAUUGCGAAGGCAUCUCGCGAAUCCGCGAUUGACGCUGAUGCACGAAAGCGUGGGUAUCAAACAGGAUUAGAUACCCUUGUAGUC